CCGAAACCCGGUGAUCUAGCCAUGGGCAGGUUGAAGGUUGGGUAACACUAACUGGAGGACCGAACCGACUAAUGUUGAAAAAUUAGCGGAUGACCUGUGGCUGGGGGUGAAAGGCCAAUCAAACCGGGAGAUAGCUGGUUCUCCCCGAAAGCUAUUUAGGUAGCGCCUCGUGAAUUCAUCUCCGGGGGUAGAGCACUGUUUCGGCUAGGGGGCCAUCCCGGCUUACCAACCCGAUGCAAACUGCGAAUACCGGAGAAUGUUAUCACGGGAGACACACGGCGGGUGCUAACGUCCGUCGUGAAGAGGGAAACAACCCAGACCGCCAGCUAAGGUCCCAAAGUCAUGGUUAAGUGGGAAACGAUGUGGGAAGGCCCAGACAGCCAGGAUGUUGGCUUAGAAGCAGCCAUCAUUUAAAGAAAGCGUAAUAGCUCACUGGUCGAGUCGGCCUGCGCGGAAGAUGUAACGGGGCUAAACCAU
rnacentral:rRNA from 1 species